AUGCUAAGAGAAUGGACUCUCAGAGAAAAACUUUUUUUAAAUUAAAAAUUGAAAUUUUUUUAAUUUGUGCAGAAACAAUUAUUAAUAUUAAGGACAAGAAGACCCUAUGAAUUUAUUAAAUUUCAUUCAAUAUGUAAUUACUAUUGAAGAAAUUUUGGCUGGGGCGGCUAAAAAAUAUUUUAAACUUUUUAAAAAUAAAAUGAUCCAUUAUUAAUGAUUAUAUGUUAAAUACUCUAGGGAUAACAGCGUUAUAUUUUUUGAUAGACCAUAUUGACAAAAAAGUUUGCGACCUCGAUGUUGGAUUAGGAUACUUUUU
rnacentral:rRNA from 1 species